rnacentral:rRNA from 1 species
AGGUUAAGUGAAUAAGGGCGCACGGUGGAUGCCUUGGCACUAGGAGCCGAUGAAGGACGGGACUAACACCGAUAUGCUUUGGGGAGCUGUAAGUAAGCUAUGAUCCAGAGAUUUCCGAAUGGGGGAACCCAGCAUCUUUUAUAGGAUGUUACGUCUGCGUGAAUACAUAGCGCAGUCGAGGUAGACGCAGAGAACUGAAACAUCUAAGUACCUGCAGGAAGAGAAAGAAAAUUCGAUUCCCUGAGUAGCGGCGAGCGAAACGGGAAAAGCCCAAACCAACAAGCUUGCUUGUUGGGGUUGUAGGACUCCGAUAUGGUAGUCUAUUCAGAUAGUCGAAAUACUUGGAAAAGUAUGUCAAAGAGGGUAAAAACCCCGUAG